ACGCUGGCGGCGUGCGUAACAAUGCAAGUCGGACGGGGCAGGAGAUCCGUAAGGGUUCCCUGUCGAGUGGCGGACGGGUGCGUAACACGUGGAUGACCUACCGCGCGAUGGGGGAUACCCCUCAGAAAUGGGGGCUAAGACUGCAUGCGCUCACCUGGGUGCGAGCCGAGGUGAGGAAAGCUGUGGAGGGGGGCAACUCUCCUGCAGCGUCGGGCGAGGGGUCCGCGGCCGAUUAGCUAGUUGGCGGAGUAAAGGCCCACCAAGGCGACGAUCGGUAGCUGGUCUGAGAGGAUGAUCAGCCACACUGGGAUUGAGAACGGCCCAGACUCCUACGGGGGGCAGCAGUGAGGAAUCUUCGGCAAUGGGGGCAACCCUGACCGAGCAACGCCGCGUGGAGGACGACGGCCUUCGGGUUGUAAACUCCUUUUCUGGGGAACGAGGUAUACGGACGGUACCCCAGGAAGAAGCCUCGGCUAACUACGUGCCAGCAGCCGCGGUAAUA
rnacentral:rRNA from 1 species